rnacentral:rRNA from 1 species
CUACGGGCUGCAGCAGUGAGGAAUAUUGCACAAUGGGGGGAACCCUGAUGCAGCAACGCUGCGUGGAGGAUGACGCAUUUCGGUGUGUAAACUCCUUUUAUAUGUCAAGAAAAUGACGGUAGCAUAUGAGUAAGCACCGGCUAACUCCGUGCCAGCAGCCGCGGUAAUACGUAGGGUGCAAGCGUUACUCGGAAUCACUGGGCGUAAAGGACGCGUAGGCGGGUUGGAAAGUCAGGUGUGAAAUCCUACAGCUUAACUGUAGAACUGCACUUGAAACUUCUAAUCUAGAGUAUGGGAGGGGGAGAUGGAAUUAGUGGUGUAGGGGUAAAAUCCGUAGAUAUCACUAGGAAUACCUAAAGCGAAGGCGAUCUCCUGGAACAUUACUGACGCUAAGGCGUGAAAGCGUGGGGAGCAAACAGGAUUAGAUACCCUGGUAGUC